UACGAAGGGGGCUAGCGUUGCUCGGAAUCACUGGGCGUAAAGCGCACGUAGGCGGAUCUUUAAGUCGGGGGUGAAAUCCCGGGGCUCAACCCCGGAACUGCCUUCGAUACUGAGGAUCUUGAGUCCGGGAGAGGUGAGUGGAACUGCGAGUGUAGAGGUGAAAUUCGUAGAUAUUCGGAAGAACACCAGUGGCGAAGGCGGCUCACUGGCCCGGUACUGACGCUGAGGUGCGAAAGCGUGGGGAGCAAACAGG
rnacentral:rRNA from 1 species